GUGGGGAAUCUUGCGCAAUGGGCGAAAGCCUGACGCAGCCAUGCCGCGUGAAUGAUGAAGGUCUUAGGAUUGUAAAAUUCUUUCACCGGGGACGAUAAUGACGGUACCCGGAGAAGAAGCUCCGGCUAACUUCGUGCCAGCAGCCGCGGUAAUACGAAGGGGGCUAGCGUUGCUCGGAAUUACUGGGCGUAAAGGGCGCGUAGGCGGACAGCUUAGUCAGAGGUGAAAGCCCAGGGCUCAACCUUGGAAUUGCCUUUGAUACUGGCUGUCUUGAGUUUGGGAGAGGUGAGUGGAACUCCGAGUGUAGAGGUGAAAUUCGUAGAUAUUCGGAAGAACACCAGUGGCGAAGGCGGCUUUCUGGACUGUAACUGACACUGAGGCACGAAAGCGUGGGGAGCAAACAGGAUUAGAUACCCGUGUAGUCC
rnacentral:rRNA from 1 species